AAUUGUGAUGCUUAAUACUUCUUAAGUUUGAUGUCUAAGAAACAAUAGGUGUGAUGUUAGGUUUUCAACCCAAAUCCUUAAUUGGACAAAUCAACCCUAUUUGUCUUACAUCAUUUUGCAACUUCUAAGGACAUCUGUAACAAAUUUCCAUAUGUGUCCCAAUAAUAAAUUACAAGCUUCACAUCACAAUACACUUAACCUUAAUAAGAGUUCUUAAUAGAAAAAAGAAUACCAUGAAAUUGUGUGAGGUACAUAUAGCGGCUUGGUAAUUAAAAGAAAUCUAUCAGUUCUUGAGACACUAGAUUAGUAUUAAUGCGAGUUGCGAUGAUAAGCUCACCUACCAAUUCAUUGGUUGUGUGCUUUGAAUGAAAUAUAGGAUAGCAUUUAGAGAGACAACUCUUGAACAGCAUGUGUAGAAGAAGUAUCUAGCAUUCACAUUCGCCGUCUUAAUGGCACAUUCUUAUUUUAAGUGUCUAGUACACUCAAAACUGAAUUCAGAGUAUAUCUUUGAAAGCUAAAGUAGUGGGUAUGAUCACCGCUGGAGUUGUCUGAGCCUUUUGAUGGGGUGGUGUAGCCACCUUGAGGUUGUGGUUGGAGUUCUGAAGAAGACUGAUGGUUUUUGGGAUUACUAUUUGCUGUAUUUUGUUGAAGGAUUAUCCCAUAGGCACCUGGAUCAUAGUUCAUUUUGGUUCACCGCACAGGACGGCUCUGGUUGGCUAUUUGUUUUGGUAUACUGCGAUAGGGGUAUCAUGCUUUUUGUGUGGGCUUUGAUGCUGAAGGUACAUCAGAGGACACGUGGAUAUGCCCUAGGUAGACUUCAAGGAUACCAUUGCAGUUUUAAUUAUUUAUGGAGAAUUUCCUUUCCAACAUGUUUCUGAAAAUAUAGUUUAGAUUUUGUGAUCUAUUAACAGACAGCAUGAUCUUUAAAAUGCAAAACCUCGGAAUAACUGAGAUUUUUUAUUUCAUGAAGUUUGGUUCAUUGAGGUUUUCUCUGGGUCUUGUGGUUCAGGUUCAUGAGCAAGGCCAUGCAGACAAUUCAUAAUCUGUGGCUAUGACCUCUUGUUUCUUUUAGCUUGGACUCAGAAAUUAUGACUUCCUUGCUCUCAUUCUUGCACCCUAGGCUUAAGAGAUAAAUGAGUUUUGCCACUUGAAACGAAUUUCAUCAAUUUAGAAAGUAAUACCCAAAAAUGGGGUUUCAGUUUAA